UGCCAGCAGCCGCGGUAAUACUAAAGGUGCAAGCGUUAAUCGGAAUUACUGGGCGUAAAGCGCGCGUAGGCGGUUUAGAAAGUUGGAUGUGAAAUCCCCGGGCUCAACCCGGGAACUGCAUUCAAAACUUCUAGGCUAGAGUGUGUAAGAGGAUAGUGGAAUUCCAGGUGUAGCGGUGAAAUGCGUAGAUAUCUGGAGGAACAUCAGUGGCGAAGGCGACUAUCUGGUACAACACUGACGCUGAGGUGCGAAAGCGUGGGGAGCAAACAGGAUUAGAUA
rnacentral:rRNA from 1 species